rnacentral:rRNA from 1 species
CUGGCGGCAGGCCUAACACAUGCAAGUCGAGCGCGCCUUCGGGUGAGCGGCGGACGGGUUAGUAACGCGUGGGAACGUGCCCUUCUCUACGGAAUAGCCUCUGGAAACGGAGAGUAAUACCGUAUACGCCCUUUGGGGGAAAGAUUUAUCGGAGAAGGAUCGGCCCGCGUUAGAUUAGGUAGUUGGUGGGGUAACGGCCUACCAAGCCUACGAUCUAUAGCUGGUUUUAGAGGAUGAUCAGCAACACUGGGACUGAGACACGGCCCAGACUCCUACGGGAGGCAGCAGUGGGGAAUCUUAGACAAUGGGGGCAACCCUGAUCUAGCCAUGCCGCGUGAGUGAUGAAGGCCUUAGGGUCGUAAAGCUCUUUCGCCUGUGAUGAUAAUGACAGUAGCAGGUAAAGAAACCCCGGCUAACUCCGUGC